UUCUCAGGCAGCGCUGGGAUGAUGUAUUGUCCUUCCUGACUUGUGACAAAGAGAACUAUUCGGUGCUGGGGUUGAGCUAGGGAUAUGAUAGAUAUCUUUAAUUAUAUGAUAAUCAGAGAUGAGCUAAUUAGAUAUCACUAGAUAACUGAUCAGUUGCAGCAUUCAUAUAACGAAAAAUGUGCAAGGAAAUAGAGUCAAUGUCAUUGACGUAGGUUUGUGAUAGCUGCGUUUGCUUUGUGAUAUGACCAUUUAUUUUAUGUAGUGAAAACCAAGUUUUUUAAAGAGAAAAAAAAACAUGUCAUCACGGGGAAUUUAAGUGCCUGUUUUCAUCAAUGGCUUUUCAAGUUCAGUCAAUUCUAUUUUUUACCAACAAGCCUACGUGGUAGUUAAAAAAAGUUGGCACAAGUAGACUCUGAUGAGUUUGCAUCAAUUUUAUUUUUCUAGAAUGAACUAGCCUUUGAAUUAGCUGAAUGGAAGUCCUAGAUAAAGCAAUCAGAGAAGAGAAAGAAAUAAAUGGUAUUCACAUUGAAAAAGAAGAAGUCAAAUUC
rnacentral:lncRNA from 1 species